rnacentral:ncRNA from 16 species
AUACAGUUGCAGGAAAACAGGUGAAAUUCCUGUACAAGUCCGUUACCGUUAAAGUCGGAGUACUCUCUGUAUGGUGAGGACUGUAAACAUUUGCGGCAACCGAAGGAUUACAGAAUAGAAAU